rnacentral:lncRNA from 1 species
UAAACAUGGGGAUGCGGCUUUGAAGAAGGUAUCCGAGAGGGAAGGUUAUCUAGAGAGGAGGUGUCGUCCACCAAGAUGUAUGGCAAUAGUUUUAGUAAGAAGAAGAAGAGUGAAGCUAAUGCAGUUUCAGUUGGGAGGCAAAGGAGGUCUCAGGUAAGAAGAAAUCAAACACCCUAUCAACAUCAUCAUCAAGUAUCAUCAGUCAUUUCGGUAUUUUCAGCAAAUCAGUCAGUACCAAUUCAAC